AUUGAACGCUGGCGGCAUGCCUAACACAUGCAAGUCGAACGGUAACAGGCCCUUCGGGGUGCUGACGAGUGGCGGAUGGGUGAGUAAUACUUAGGAAUCUACCCUGUAGUGGGGGACGAACCCGGGGAAACGUCGGGCUAAUACCGCAUACGCUCUACGGAGGAAAGCGGGGGACCGGCAAGGCCUCGCGCUAUUGGAUGAGCCUAAGCCCGAUUAGCUAGUUGGUGGGGUAAUAGCCUACCAAGGCAAUGAUCGGUAGCUGGUCUGAGAGGACGACCAGCCACACUGGGACUGAGACACGGCCCAGACUCCUACGGGAGGCAGCAGUGGGGAAUAUUGGACAAUGGGCGAAAGCCUGAUCCAGCGAUGCCGCGUGUGU
rnacentral:rRNA from 1 species